GAUGAACGCUGGCGGCGUGCUUAACACAUGCAAGUCGAACGGUGAAAGAGGAGCUUGCUCCUCUGGAUCAGUGGCGAACGGGUGAGUAACACGUGAGCAAUCUGCCCCGAACUCUGGGAUAAGCGCUGGAAACGGCGUCUAAUACCGGAUACGACGCGGGAGGGCAUCCUCUCCGCGUGGAAAGAAUUUCGGUUCGGGAUGAGCUCGCGGCCUAUCAGCUUGUUGGUGAGGGAACGGCACACCAAGGCGACGACGGGUAGCCGGCCUGAGAGGGUGACCGGCCACACUGGGACUGAGACACGGCCCAGACUCCUACGGGAGGCAGCAGUGGGGAAUAUUGCACAAUGGGCGCAAGCCUGAUGCAGCAACGCCGCGUGAGGGACGACGGCCUUCGGGUUGUAAACCUCUUUUAGCAGGGAAGAAGCGAAAGUGACGGUACCUGCGGAAAAAGCACCGGCUAACUACGUGCCAGCCGCCGCGGUAA
rnacentral:rRNA from 1 species